UCUUUUCAUGUCCCUCUGUUUCCAUCGUCCCUGUUACCCCUCUCUCUCUCUCCCUCCCUCUCCUCAAUUGAAUUGAAUGGAAACGACGAAGCGCUUGAUAGGCAUAUUGAGACCAAAAUUAAAGCAAGGAUUGUUACUAUGGCUUGAAGGUUUCAGGGAAGCUUGCUGUCUUCACAGGGUUGUUUUUCUCUGCUCCAGGUCAAGAAUGCUGUUGGUUCGAACUGGGCAGUGUUUUCUUUUGAAUGGUUUUAUUUUCUUAGGAAGCAUACUUGUUUUAAAAUCAGUGGUCAUCCCAACAUUACUAUGGAUAUUACCUAAUCAAUGCUCAGAAGUUUCUUCUCAAGGACCGUGCUCGUUUGACAGUGUUUCAAAACUUUACUCGUCUUUGCGCCUUGGACUCGUACAACUCUUUUAUGUGUUCUGGUUCUAUCCGCUGUACAUAUUUAGCUUCAUUCUGAGCACAAUUUGGUACAAUGAUAUUGCUAAGUAUGGUUUUGCGGCAAUGGGAAAAAACGGGCAUGAUAUACUGGAACCCUCAAGUCAGAAUGAGGUCAAGACCACAGAAAAUACAGCCUUGAAGGACAAGCCUGCAGGUCUAGGAGGGGUUAUGAUUGGAAUUGGAGAGCAAGUGUAUUCUAUACUUCUUUUGACCUUCUUUUUUCUAGAGGUUUAUGCAACGGGAUUUAUACCACAUAUAGGAAAGGCACUCAAUUUUGUACUCCUUUCAUGGAUGUAUGCUUACUACUGUUUCGAGUACAAAUGGAAUUUAUCUGAAGUGGCUCUGGACAGAAGGCUAGAUUUCUUUGAAUCUAACUGGGCCUUUUUUGCUGGUUUUGGAAGCCCUUGUGUUUUGGCUAUUUUCUUCUUCUCUCCUCUUGUGAGCUAUGGUGUUAUGGCCAUUCUGUUUCCUCUGUUUGUUUUGGCUGCGACAGGUUCAGGGGCUGAGCAACUUAUUUUUUCACAAAGAAGAAAAUGGAAAGGUGUGGGAUUGGGAAGGCUUCCAAUAUUUUAUGCAGCGGAUACAUUAUCGAUGCGGGUUUUAUCUCUCUUGCCCUUGGAUACUCGAGAUCAGAUGGGAGACAAUAAGGCACUCUAAGAAGUUCUGGCAUAAUUCUUCCACAAUGUGGCAGUUCUUCUAUGAUGUGACAACAAAAUAUUGUAAAUCAACGUUUACAGAAAUCAACUGAAUGACUGGAGGACUCUUAUGGCAUCAUAGUUAAGAGGGAUCAUAUUAUAUCUUUUGUGGGUAGGAGGAAGCUGUUGUUACUAUAUCUAUAGCAUUUUUAUCGACUCCGGUUGGCAAAUAUGUACAGUUCAUGGAUCAUUAUUAAUUACUCUAAUUCCUGUAUAACUUUGAUGUUCGAUUUUCAGAAAUUGUAAAGACUGCAACUGGAAACAGUACACAUUCAAGAAUAUUUCGUUGAUAAUUGAUGUAUUUGUACUGAGUUGUCGAA